CCUACGGGUGGCAGCAGUGGGGAAUAUUGCACAAUGGGGGAAACCCUGAUGCAGCGACGCCGCGUGAGUGAAGAAGUAAUUCGGUAUGUAAAGCUCUAUCAGCAGGGAAGAAAAUGACGGUACCUGAGUAAGAAGCCCCGGCUAACGACGUGCCAGCAGCCGCGGUAAUACGUAGGGGGCAAGCGUUAUCCGGAUUUACUGGGUGUAAAGGGAGCGUAGACGGCAGUGCAAGUCUGGAGUGAAAGGCGGGGGCUCAACCCCCGGACUGCUCUGGAAACUGUACGGCUGGAGUGCAGGAGAGGUAAGUGGAAUUCCUAGUGUAGCGGUGACAUGCGUAGAUAUUAGGAGGAACACCAGUGGCGAAGGCGGCUUACUGGACUGUAACUGACGUUGAGGCUCGACAGCGUGGGGAGCAAACAGGAUUAGCUACCCGGGUAGUC
rnacentral:rRNA from 1 species